rnacentral:sRNA from 1 species
GCGGAGGAAAAGAAACCAACAGGGAUUGCCCUAGUAACGGCGAGUGAAGCGGCAACAGCUCAAAUUUGAAAUCUGGCCCUUGGGUCCGAAUUGUAAUUUGUAGAAGAUGCUUUUGGUGAGGUACCUUUCGAGUUCCCUGGAACGGGACGCCUUAGAGGGUGAGAGCCCCGUACGAUUGGAUACCAAGCCUCUGUAAAGCUCUUUCGACGAGUCGAGUAGUUUGGGAAUGCUGCUCUAAAUGGGAGGUAAAUUUCUUCUAAAGCUAAAUACUGGCCAGAGACCGAUAGCGCACAAGUAGAGUGAUCGAAAGAUGAAAAGUACUUUGAAAAGAGGGUUAAAUAGCACGUGAAAUUGUUGAAAGGGAAGCGUUUAUGACCAGACUUUUUCUAGGAGGAUCAUCCGGUGUUCUCACCGGUGCACUUUUCCUAGUGAAGGCCAGCAUCGGUUUCUGUAGAGGGAUAAAAUUAGUAGGAAUGUGGCUCCCUCGGGAGUGUUAUAGCCUGCUAAAUAAUACCUUUACGGGGACCGAGGUUCGCGCAUCUGCAAGGAUGCUGGCGUAAUGGUCAUCAACGACCCGUCUUGAAACACGGACCAAGGAGUCGAACAUUUAUGCGAGUGUUUGGGUGUUAAACCCUCACGCGUAAUGAAAGUGAACGGAGGUGAGAGCCCUUACGGGUGCAUCAUCGACCGAUCCUGAAGUUUUCGGAUGGAUUUGAGUAAGAGCAUUAAUGUUCGGACCCGAAAGAUGGUGAACUAUGCGUGGAUAGGGUGAAGCCAGAGGAAACUCUGGUGGAGGCUCGCAUCGGUUCUGACGUGCAAAUUGAUCUGUC